rnacentral:rRNA from 1 species
UACGAAGGGGGCUAGCGUUGUUCGGAAUCACUGGGCGUAAAGCGCACGUAGGCGGAUGUGCCAGUCAGGGGUGAAAUCCCGGAGCUCAACUUCGGAACUGCCUCUGAUACAGCACGUCUUGAGUCCGGAAGAGGUGGGUGGAAUUCCUAGUGUAGAGGUGAAAUUCGUAGAUAUUAGGAAGAACACCGGUGGCGAAGGCGGCCCACUGGUCCGGUACUGACGCUGAGGUGCGAAAGCCAGGGGAGCAAACGGG